GACGAACGCUGGCGGCGUGCUUAACACAUGCAAGUCGAACGGUGAAGCGCCUUCCUUUUUGGUGGGUGUGGAUGAGUGGCGAACGGGUGAGUAACACGUGAGUCACCUGCCCCCUUCUUCUGGAUAACCGCAUGAAAGUGUGGCUAAUACGGGAUAUUCUGGAUCUGUCGCUUGAUGGGUCUGGGACAGAUAUUGUUUCGGUGGUGGAUGGGCUCGCGGCCGAUCAGCUUGUUGGUGGGGUGAUGGCCUACCAAGGCAGCGAUGCGUAGCCGGCCUGAGAGGGGGGUCGGCGACCCCAGAAGUGCUGCGCGGCGCAGACGCCUCCGGGGGGCGGCAGCAGGGAAGAUUACGGAACGGUCGGCAGCCUGAUGGAGCAGCGACGCCGCGUUAGUGAUGGAGUUCUGCGCGUUGAGAACUCCUUUCGGGAGUGAAGCAGGGCUGCCUUGUUUAUGCGUGGGUUGACGGUAGCUGGUUAAAAAGCGCCGGCUAACUACGUG
rnacentral:rRNA from 1 species